UGGCACACACAGAAGAACACACAGAGUGAUCAGCUCCGCGAUCACACAGCUAUGCACGGGAAAGGUUGACCUGCAUGAAUGUGGACAUGGAUUGCAGACCGUACGGCACAUCCCCGUGGAAUGCUGAAACUGAGCUGAAGAACAACAUCAAGCGCAUACUUUGCAACCCAUCAAUGGCAGUAUAAGCAGCAAAAUGGAUCUCAAGGACAGGGCUUCUGAAUCAAUUCCGGGGCAGUUCCACCCACAGUGCUCCAAUAUCAUAUAUCUAGUAGAUAGAAGUUGAGGAGGGCCAAGCAAGACCUGACAAGGCAGAGAUACAGAACUGGGAGGAAGGCUACAAGUAUGGAAGCUCGUGGGCAAGGAGUUGUUUCUACAAAGCAACCUGUUUGUCUGUGGACCUCUGCAGGAAUUGCCCGCUUCUGAAGGGUGACUGUAUCUGUAUUUUAGUCAUGCGUUGCAUAGCUGCCAAGGGCAGCUGGGUUAGUCUAUGAACAAAUCAAUCUAUCAAUGGCUG
rnacentral:sRNA from 2 species